GAACUGAAGAGUUUGAUCAUGGCUCAGAUUGAACGCUGGCGGCAGGCCUAACACAUGCAAGUCGAGCGGAUGAAGGGAGCUUGCUCCUGGAUUCAGCGGCGGACGGGUGAGUAAUGCCUAGGAAUCUGCCUGGUAGUGGGGGAUAACGUCCGGAAACGGGCGCUAAUACCGCAUACGUCCUGAGGGAGAAAGUGGGGGAUCUUCGGACCUCACGCUAUCAGAUGAGCCUAGGUCGGAUUAGCUAGUUGGUGGGGUAAAGGCCUACCAAGGCGACGAUCCGUAACUGGUCUGAGAGGAUGAUCAGUCACACUGGAACUGAGACACGGUCCAGACUCCUACGGGAGGCAGCAGUGGGGAAUAUUGGACAAUGGGCGAAAGCCUGAUCCAGCCAUGCCGCGUGUGUGAAGAAGGUCUUCGGAUUGUAAAGCACUUUAAGUUGGGAGGAAGGGCAGUAAGUUAAUACCUUGCUGUUUUGACGUUACCAACAGAAUAAGCACCGGCUAACUUCGUGCCAGCAGCCGCGGUAAUACGAAGGGUGCAAGCGUUAAUCGGAAUUACUGGGCGUAAAGCGCGCGUAGGUGGUUCAGCAAGUUGGAUGUGA
rnacentral:rRNA from 1 species